AACACGAAUAAUAAAAGAACUCAUAUAAGCCCGUAAUAUGGAUGGGUGUUUCUACCGAAAACCUUAAAUUUUCGUCUAUGAGUGAUGUUAAUAUAUGU
rnacentral:ncRNA from 2 species